rnacentral:rRNA from 1 species
AGCGAACGCUGGCGGCAGGCCUAACACAUGCAAGUCGAACGAACCCUUCGGGGUUAGUGGCGGACGGGUGAGUAACACGUGGGAACGUGCCUUUAGGUUCGGAAUAACUCAGGGAAACUUGUGCUAAUACCGAAUGUGCCCUUCGGGGGAAAGAUUUAUCGCCUUUAGAGCGGCCCGCGUCUGAUUAGCUAGUUGGUGAGGUAAUGGCUCACCAAGGCUACGAUCAGUAGCUGGUCUGAGAGGAUGACCAGCCACAUUGGGACUGAGACACGGCCCAAACUCCUACGGGAGGCAGCAGUGGGGAAUCUUGCGCGAUGGGCGAAAGCCUGACGCAGCCAUGCCGCGUGAAUGAUGAAGGUCUUAGGAUUGUAAAAUUCUUUCACCGGGGACGAUAAUGACGGUACCCGGAGAAGAAGCCCCGGCUAACUUCGUGCCAGCCGCCGCUGUAAUAC